GCGUCGGUGGUCUAAUGGCUAUGACUUCGGCCUUCCAAGCCGACUAUUCGGGUUCAAAUCCCGGCCGACGCA
rnacentral:tRNA from 1 species